rnacentral:rRNA from 1 species
GUGAGUAACACGUAAACAACGUGCCUCUAAAUCUGGGAUAACCAUUCUAACGAGUGGCUAAUACCGGAUGUGGAUAUUGAAUCUCCUGAUUUAAUAUUUAAAGAUGACCUCUUCUUGAAAGUUAUUGUUUAGAGAUCGGUUUGCGUACUAUUAGUUUGUUGGUGAGGUAAUGGCUCACCAAGACUAUGAUAGUUAGCCGACCUGAGAGGGUGAUCGGCCACAUUGGGACUGAGACACGGCCCAGACUCC